GCCUCUCUCUCUCUCUCUCGUUCGUUAUCCUCUUCUUGUGGCUCUUAUGGCGUCCCCAUGGCCUCCUCUCUUUUCUUUCCUAUCUUUCCCUCGCUCCCCUUUCGAAUUAGGGCUCGCGCGACUCUCUCUUCUCCAUGACGACCGUGGCGUGCAGGAUCUCCGCCGCUGGAGCAAUGCUCUUCUCCGCCUCCCCUCGACCCCACCGCAACCACCCCGUGAUCAUCCCCCAUACCCUCCCUCGUCGUCGCCUGACGACCCUGCGGAGCCCCGAUCGGAUCGCCUGCAAGGCCACCGAGGUCUCCGAGGUGGAGGAGGGGGAGCCGGCUGUGGCGGCAGCCAAGGACGCUGACGGCGGCAUGAACUGGGUCCCCGUCGUCCCGUUGGCGGCGCUGCCCAAGGGGGAGCGCCGCGUCAUCAUUCAGGACGGGGAGACGAUCCUGUUGCUCUGGUACAAGGAUGACGUCGUCGCGAUAGAGAACCGGUCACCGGCCGAGGGGGCAUACACUGAAGGCCUCUUCAACGCCAAACUCACGCAGGAUGGCUGCAUUGUUUGUCCGACUACAGAUAGCACAUUUGAACUUCGAACCGGAGAGAUCAAGGAAUGGUACCCAAAAAAUCCUGUUCUUAGGGUCCUUACACCACCUUUGAGGAAACUUUAUGUGUACCCUGUCAAACUAGAUGGAGAGAACAUCUAUAUCAGCAUGAGAGGAGGUUCUGGAGGAUCCGCAGAGAUUGUUUUCAGUGGCAGAGCUCAGCCCGGUAUGACGGCAUCAGAUGUCAAUGUGGAGGAGGUUAGGAUGGUAGUUGAUGAGGAUUCUGAAGGAUUUGGUUUCACAGGAAAAAAUGAACUACUAAAUGGGAAGGCAGCCAUAAUUGGCUUCUUACUAUUGAUAGAUUUUGAGCUUUUAACUGGUAAAGGUCUUCUCAAGGGGACAGGUUUCUUGGACUUCAUCUAUUCAGUUUCGAAGGCUUUUGAAUCCUUUUAGGCAUUUCUUCAUUUCCUCAUCAAGUUGUUGGAACGUCAGUAAUGUUCAUAAUCUGCAGAAGAAUCAUCAAGUGUUAAUGCACACAGAUAAAGCGGCCUUCAGUCGUUUGCAGUCCCAUGCCAUGCUUAAUAAACAUCACGCCCCUCAUUAUUCAGGGGUUGGCUGGAUUCACCUUUCCUGUUAGCUGCCACAUCACUAUCGCCACUGACACAGUUUCCCAGAUGUAAGUUGGCACCUAUCUAUUGUUUCUUUUACAUUACUCGCCUGAACCCUUUGCCAAAACUAUGUAAACUGUUCGAAGUCUUUGUGUAACCUUGUACAUCAUUAUUUGUGUGAUAAUUUUGUUA